rfam:Picea glauca, whole genome shotgun sequence.
GCAUAUGUACAUGCCUACAUUGUUAAUGCAUUGGAUCCCAUUAGAAAUCUGCAGUUAAGUGUGUUUGGGCUAGAGUAGUACUAGGAUGGGUGACCUCCUAGGAAGUCCUAGUGAUUUACAUGCC